CGUGUUAUAACCACUGUCAUUG
rnacentral:miRNA from 10 species